rnacentral:rRNA from 1 species
GAUGAACGCUAGCGGCAGGCCUAAUACAUGCAAGUUGAACGAGAUUGUUGGUAGCAAUACUGACAUGAAAGUGGCGCACGGGUGCGUAACACGUAUGUAACCUACCUUUAACUGGGGCAUAGCUUCGAGAAAUCGAAAUUAAUACCCCAUAACAUUUAGAAAAGGCAUCUUUUCUUUAUCAAAGUUCCGGCGGUUAAAGAUGGACAUGCGGUGCAUUAGCUUGUUGGUGAGGUAACGGCUCACCAAGGCUACGAUGCAUAGGGGGUCUGAGAGGAUGAUCCCCCACACUGGUACUGAGACACGGACCAGACUCCUACGGGAGGCAGCAGUAGGGAAUAUUGGGCAAUGGACGAAAGUCUGACCCAGCCACGCCGCGUGAAGGAUGACUGCCCUAUGGGUUGUAAACUUCUUUUGUAUGGGAAGAAAAUUCCGAACGUGUUCGGAGCUGACGGUACCAUAAGAAUAAGCAUCGGCUAACUCCGUGCCAGCAGCCGCGGU